rnacentral:rRNA from 1 species
CCACGUUCGGAUCGCAGCCUGCAACCCGGCUGCGUGAAGCUGGAAUCGCUAGUAAUCGCGGAUCAGAAUGCCGCGGUGAAUACGUUCCCGGGCCUUGUACACACCGCCCGUCACACCAUGAGAGUCGGGAACACCCGAAGUCAGUAGUCUAACCGCAAGGAGGACGCUGCCGAAGGUGGGAUUAGCGACUGGGGUGAAGUCGUAACAAGGUAUC